UAUCCAGAAAAGUGAGGCAUAUAGAACUCCAAGUAUCCAUGAUCAAAAACAAUUACACCAAGACACAUAAUAGUCAAGAUUCCAGAAAUUCAACACAAGGAUAGAUUAUUAACAGUUGUUAGAGAAAAGAAAUGAAACAUAAACUCUACAAUGACCCUACCCCAACACCUGAAGAGCCCAUUCAUUUUAAGUACAGGUGGAAUGGUUAUGGAGACAUCACCCGCCAGGGACACAAGAAUACCCCACAGCCAACCUCACACAGCCUGCUCCUUCUGGUUUCAAGGAGCACAGUGUUGCCUAAAGUUGAAUACGAACCCUAAGAAUGCACUCUGGGGUAACUCAGGGGUUAGAGAGGAAACUGAUAAAAUCCUUAAAAUAUUUAGCACCGAGAAGCCACAAGCAUGUUAGUAAAGUAUCAAAAUUAAAAGACAGAGCUAAGAUGUAACUAAAAAACCAUGGGGAGAGGUCAGUAGCCUUAGAUGCAUUUAUUAAAUAAGAAAAAAAUGAAAAAUUUAGCUCAGUGGUGCCGCCACCUGCCUCACAAGUGCAAGGGCCUGAGUUCGAUCCCUGGUACCAAAAAAACCCAAAAAACAAAAAAAAGCAAAAACAAACAAAAAACAGUGGUAGAGUGCCCAUGGGUUGAUCCCUAGAACUGCAAAAAAAAAAAAAAGUACAUAUAUCAAAAGUUUAAGGACCUGUAAAAGAUGGGAUAACCCCUUUGUGACCCAAAGGUAGAUUCUAAAGUUGUGUAAACUUUCAGAGACAAAACGUAAGCCAGACAGGAGGGAAGGAGUGGAAGAGCUGUCCUCCCCCUGCUCUUGACCAUGCACCAGUGUCCAUGCACCGCACCAUCUCGGGCUUCUGCAUGGUGCGAGCCCAACAAGAACUGACCGGGCUUCUUCCGCGCGGGGCAAAACCUACACGAAUCCUCGCGAGGACAUCGAGGACAUCCUGUAAAUUCAGCUUCCUAGGAAGCCAAGACCAGGGGUAGCAGCCAAAAGGUACACGAAGUUUUAACAGCAGAGCCUUGCAUGGUGCAGUGACAUGAAACACUACAUCAGCGCAUGUAACUGAGGGAGGACUCAGAAGGGACUCCAGUGACCUUGCCGAAGUCGGUCCUGCCCCUCUGCAGUUGACAGAGCCCAAAGCCCAGCACAGUCUCUUCCCUGGCAGGAAGAUCCCUGACUGCCUGGCCUAGAGAGACCUCUUGGGCUGGGGCCUGUCACAGCUGACCCCGCACAUCCCUGUCACAGGUCCUGGUGCCUGUCCCAUGAGUGACAGCUUUGGGACUGCUCAGGUGCACAUCUCCCACACUACCAGGCUCCUCGUCCCUCCAGGCCCAGCAUGGCGAAGGCCUCUGGAUGUGGCCGAGUGCAUCACAGGUGGCUGAGGGCAGCGGAUCUGCACUUGACCCGGAGCCUGGGUGCGGCAGGAGGCCUGAGAGUGCUUGUUUGCUGAGCGGAUGAGUCCCAGGAAAGUUUGUGUUUGCCUUCUGGCUCUUGUUUCUCCUCCAGUUCCUCCAAGGCCCCAGCUUCUCUGAACACAGAACACUUUGUGUCACAACUUGCACCAGGUCACAGUGAACAUCACACAAACAGGAACGGGCCUGGGGGCUGCUGGACCCAAGUCAUUCCGGUCCUGCUGCCCACUCGAUGCCAUGGACAUGGCCUUGAGGAGCUUCGCCAGCCUCCCCCGGACACCUGUGCUGGAAGCUCCUCGUGGGCUCCUCUGCAGCCAGAUCCAGAAGGCUGGUGCAGGAGGGGCCACUGCAGGUUUCCCUGAGGGGUCAGCAAGGGAGGAAGUGGCCACACCUGAAGGGGUCACGCUCAGCUCCCAGCCCAACUCUCCUUCCUGGGGAGCCCGACGUCCUCACUGUGCAGCUGAGGAGAGGUGAGCAGGAACAGGAGUUCCAGCCAGGAAUCGUCCCCACAACGAUCACCAGAGAGACCCUUUCCAGCAAGACCCCAUCAGUAAGGACGGAGGGAGGCGGAGACCAAGGGAGAGCCCUAGUGCGGUGCCACUGAGCCCAGGCUGGGUGAACCUCUCCCGAACUCCUAGGAAACUGAGGCCCAGCCAGGAUAGAACAUCUGCUGGCCUCCAGCCCACAAAUUCUGCACAUGGCAGCUACUCUGUGGGGCUGGAGACACCCAAGGUGGGCUGCAGACCAGGAGCCUCCCUCAUCCUUCCAACCCAGCCCUGCUCUGGAAGCCCUCUCUGGGCUGGGAUCAUUGGCAUCAUCUGGGCAGCCUUUGACUCCAGCUCCCUGGUGAAGCUCGGAGAGGGAGGAGGACCUGGGAGUGGAGCUCUUCCUGCCAGCCUGGUCAUCCACCAGGGGCUGCUGCUCUUGCCCCCCUCUCCCAGGAGAGGAAGGGGCGGCUGAGAACAAUGAGCGAGGGGCAGUCCACUCAGAGGCCCGCUGAGACCCACACUCACUCCAGUGGGGGCGAUGCUGCACUAUUAAGAGGCCUCUGGGAGCUGAGAACGGCCCAGCCCCCACCCUGCGCUCUCAGCCGCCUUGGGCUUUGGGGCGGGGCCUGCAUUGCCCACCUCGUAAAAUGCGGCCUCUCUGCUUCUUUCCUGGUUUCUCCAGCCCUGAGCUGUGAUCGCCCCUCCAUCAAAGGACCCGCUGCUCCUACAGCGUGCACAGAAGGCCUCCCCCAACGUGUGUGUGUGUGGGGGGGUUAACUCCUACUCUUGAAUUUUCAUCUUUUUCUCAUUUUUCUGACUAAUCAAAACCUGAAAAGGCAACUGGUCCCAAGUAGAACACGAUAUAUUUGCACUGUAGAUAAUCUUACAUUUUAAAGAAGAGAUUAAAAUUGUCA